rnacentral:rRNA from 1 species
GCGAACGCUGGCGGCAGGCUUAACACAUGCCAGUCGAGCGGGCAUCCUUGUGGUGUCAGCGGCAGACGGGUGAGUAACGCGUGGGAACGUGCCCUUCGGUUCGGAAUAACUCAGGGAAACUUGAGCUAAUACCGGAUACGUGCGAGAGCAGAAAGGUUUAUCUGCCGAAGGAUCGGCCCGCGUCUGAUUAGCUAGUUGGUGAGGUUACGGCUCACCAAGGCGACGAUCAGUAGCUGGUCUGAGAGGAUGAUCAGCCACACUGGGACUGAGACACGGCCCAGACUCCUACGGGAGGCAGCAGUGGGGAAUAUUGGACAAUGGGGGCAACCCUGAUCCAGCCAUGCCGCGUGAGUGAUGACGGCCUUAGGGUUGUAAAGCUCUUUUCUCCGGGACGAUAAUGACGGUACCGGAGGAAUAAGCCCCGGCUAACUUCGUG